UACCAGCACCCCGAGUGGUCGGGACGAUUAUUGGGCCUAAAGCAUCCGUAGCCGGUUCUGCAAGUCCCCCGUUAAAUCCAGCUGCUCAACAGAUGGGCCGCGGAGGAUACUACAGAGCUAGGAGGCAGGAGAGGCAAGCGGUACUCAGUGGGUAGGGGUAAAAUCCGUUGAUCCAUUGAAGACCACCAGUGGCGAAGGCGGCUUGCCAGAAUGCGCUCGACGGUGAGGGAUGAAAGCUGGGGGAGCAAACGGG
rnacentral:rRNA from 1 species